UAAACCAACUUUACCCACUUCUCAACCAACUUUGGCCACUUUUCAACUGCCAUUCACAGAAGUGGGCAAAGUUGGUUGAGAAGUGGGUAAAGUUGGGCAA
ensembl:miRNA mir-4814 ncRNA